rnacentral:rRNA from 1 species
AUUGAACGCUGGCGGCAGGCCUAACACAUGCAAGUCGAACGGUAACAGGAAGCAGCUUGCUGCUUCGCUGACGAGUGGCGGACGGGUGAGUAAUGUCUGGGAAACUGCCUGAUGGAGGGGGAUAACUACUGGAAACGGUAGCUAAUACCGCAUAACGUCGCAAGACCAAAGAGGGGGACCUUCGGGCCUCUUGCCAUCGGAUGUGCCCAGAUGGGAUUAGCUUGUUGGUGGGGUAACGGCUCACCAAGGCGACGAUCCCCAGCUGGUCUGAGAGGAUGACCAGCCACACUGGAACUGAGACACGGUCCAGACUCCUACGGGAGGCAGCAGUGGGGAAUAUUGCACAAUGGGCGCAAGCCUGAUGCAGCCAUGCCGCGUGUAUGAAGAAGGCCUUCGGGUUGUAAAGUACUUUCAGCGGGGAGGAAGGGAGUAAAGUUAAUACCUUUGCUCAUUGACGUUACCCGCAGAAGAAGCACCGGCUAACUCCGUGCCAGCAGCCGCGGUAAUACGGAGGGUGCAAGCGUUAAUCGGAAUUACUGGGCG